rnacentral:lncRNA from 1 species
UACAUAGACAAUAACUGUUUAGUGUCUUUAAAUAUCAGCUGUAUUUGUACGAGGCUAGGAAACAAGGUGUAUGCGAGCUUUUAGCGAGCUACUACACCUGUUUCGAGCCGAGUACAAAUACAGCUGAUAUUUAAAGACACUAAACAGUUAUUGUCUUUAUCCUGCAAUUAAUUCUGUAUAUUGUUUGUGUUUUGAAAGACACAAAAACUAACAUAUUUAGCAUUUAUUUUCGAUUUGUAAUCCCUUGAGGCCCGCGUAGUAAUAUCAAAAUCACACAUUACGCUGAAGACGGGUUCGCAAAAAAGAAUCUCGAAUGGUCAACAAUAAUACAUCGCUCAAGGUGAAUAAUUAUCUAUUUUAACAUAACAACUAAUUUCAACAGUAAAAACAAAUAACAAAACAUUGUCAAAUUUGAAACAGAAGUGUACGAGUUGUUCUACGCUUCAGACUUGACAUUCACUAAACAUGCAUGCUGAAAUUGACAUGGUUGAUUUUGUAACACAAUCAUACACAUUCAAGUUUUGAAAUCGACAAUUGUCAUCGUCAUUGGAAUGCAACUGGAAUACACAUUCUGAGGUCACA